AUUGAACGCUGGCGGCAGGCCUAACACAUGCAAGUCGAGCGAGCGGAGGACGGGUGAGUAAUAUCUGGGAAACUGCCUGAUGUAGGGGGAUAACAACUGGAAACGGUAGCUAAUACCGCAUACCAUCUGAUAUGUCCAGAUGGGCUUAGCUGGUAGGUGGGGUAACGGCUCACCCAGGGGACGAUCCCUAGCUGGGCUGAGAGGAUGACCCGCCACAAUGGAACUGAGACACGGUCCAGACUCCUACGGGAGGCAGCAGUGGGGAAUAUUGCACAAUGGGCGCAAGCCUGAUGCAGCCAUGCCGCGUGUAUGAAGAAGGCCUUCGGGUUGUAAAGUACUUUCAGCGAGGAGGCGUUACCCGCAGAAGAAGCACCGGCUAACUCCGUGCCAGCAGCCGCGGUAAUAC
rnacentral:rRNA from 1 species